CAGGACGAACGCUGGCGGCGUGCCUAAUACAUGCAAGUCGAGCGAGCAGAACCAGCAGAUUUACUUCGGUAAUGACGCUGGGGACGCGAGCGGCGGAUGGGUGAGUAACACGUGGGGAACCUGCCCCAUAGCCUGGGAUACCACUUGGAAACAGGUGCUAAUACCGGAUAAGAAAGCAGAUCGCAUGAUCAGCUUAUAAAAGGCGGCGUAAGCUGUCGCUAUGGGAUGGCCCCGCGGUGCAUUAGCUAGUUGGUAAGGUAACGGCUUACCAAGGCAAUGAUGCAUAGCCGAGUUGAGAGACUGAUCGGCCACAUUGGGACUGAGACACGGCCCAAACUCCUACGGGAGGCAGCAGUAGGGAAUCUUCCACAAUGGACGCAAGUCUGAUGGAGCAACGCCGCGUGAGUGAAGAAGGUUUUCGGAUCGUAAAGCUCUGUUGUUGGUGAAGAAGGAUAGAGGUAGUAACUGGCCUUUAUUGACGGUAAUCAACCAGAAGUCACCGGG
rnacentral:rRNA from 1 species